rnacentral:rRNA from 1 species
GAUGAACGCUAGCUACAGGCUUAACACAUGCAAGUCGCGGGGCAGCAUGGGGGUUGCUUGCCAUCCCCGAUGGCGACCGGCGCACGGGUGAGUAACGCGUAUCCAACCUGCCCUUCACCACGGGAUAACCCGGCGAAAGUCGGACUAAUACCGUAUGUUGUCCAUUGACGGCAUCCGAUUUGGACGAAAGGCUUGGCGGGGAGGGAGGGGGAUGCGUCCGAUUAGCCAGACGGCGGGGUAACGGCCCACCGUGGCUACGAUCGGUAGGGGUUCUGAGAGGAAGGUCCCCCACACUGGAACUGAGACACGGUCCAGACUCCUACGGGAGGCAGCAGUGAGGAAUAUUGGUCAAUGGGCGUAAGCCUGAACCAGCCAAGUAGCGUGCAGGAUGACGGCCCUAUGGGUUGUAAACUGCUUUUAUGCGGGGAUAAAGUGGCCCACGGGUGGGCUUUUGCAGGUACCGCAUGAAUAAGGACCGGCUAAUUCCGUG